rnacentral:rRNA from 1 species
CUACGGGAUGCAGCAGUGGGGAAUAUUGCACAAUGGGCGCAAGCCUGAUGCAGCCAUGCCGCGUGUAUGAAGAAGGCCUUCGGGUUGUAAAGUACUUUCAGCGGGGAGGAAGGGAGUAAAGUUAAUACCUUUGCUCAUUGACGUUACCCGCAGAAGAAGCACCGGCUAACUCCGUGCCAGCAGCCGCGGUAAUACGGAGGGUGCAAGCGUUAAUCGGAAUUACUGGGCGUAAAGCGCACGCAGGCGGUUUGUUAAGUCAGAUGUGAAAUCCCCGGGCUCAACCUGGGAACUGCAUCUGAUACUGGCAAGCUUGAGUCUCGUAGAGGGGGGUAGAAUUCCAGGUGUAGCGGUGAAAUGCGUAGAGAUCUGGAGGAAUACCGGUGGCGAAGGCGGCCCCCUGGACGAAGACUGACGCUCAGGUGCGAAAGCGUGGGGAGCAAACAGGAUUAGAUACCCCGGUAGUC